CAAGUUAGCCAGACUAGGAGAAAUCUCAGCAUCUAACUGACCUUGUCUGGGCAUGGAAGCUAAGCAGAUUCAGGCCCAGUUAGUAUUUGGAUGGGAGAUUAUCAGGGAAUGCCAAGGCCGCAGAUUAGC
rnacentral:rRNA from 1 species